AUUGAACGCUGGCGGCAGGCCUAACACAUGCAAGUCGAGCGGAUGAAGAGAGCUUGCUCUCUGAUUUAGCGGCGGACGGGUGAGUAAUGCCUAGGAAUCUGCCUGGUAGUGGGGGAUAACGUUCCGAAAGGAACGCUAAUACCGCAUACGUCCUACGAGAGAAAGCAGGGGACCUUCGGGCCUUGCGCUAUCAGAUGAGCCUAGGUCGGAUUAGCUAGUUGGUGAGGUAAUGGCUCACCAAGGCGACGAUCCGUAACUGGUCUGAGAGGAGGGUCAGUCACACUGGAACUGAGACACGGUCCAGACUCCUACGGGAGGCAGCAGUGGGGAAUAUUGGACAAUGGGCGAAAGCCUGAUCCAGCCAUGCCGCGUGUGUGAAGAAGGUCUUCGGAUUGUAAAGCACUUUAAGUUGGGAGGAAGGGCAGUAAGUUAAUACCUUGCUGUUUUGACGUUACCGACAGAAUAAGCACCGGCUAACUCUGUGCCAGCCGCCGCCGUAACAC
rnacentral:rRNA from 1 species